AUACGGAGGUUGCAAGCGUUAUCCGGAUUUAUUGGGUUUAAAGGGUUCGUAGGCGGAUCAAUAAGUCAGUGGUGAAAGCCUGUGGCUCAACCAUAGAACUGCCAUUGAUACUGUUGAUCUUGAGUACACUUGAAGUGGGCGGAAUGCGUCAUGUAGCGGUGAAAUGCAUAGAUAUGACGCAGAACACCGAUUGCGAAGGCAGCACACUAAAUUGUAACUGACGCUGAGGAACGAAAGCGUGGGGAGCGAACAGGAUUAGAUACCCUAGUAGUCC
rnacentral:rRNA from 1 species